CCUCCUGCUGCUCCCGGCCGGCAAGAUCCGGCUGUCCUGGUUCCUCCAGGUGCGCUGCCGUCACCUCGACAGAAAGGAAGACCUGCUGCUGCUGCUGCUCAGCGACAUCGAAGAUGACGGACUGGUGCUGACAGAGCCCAGCCACUGAAGCAGCAUGCAGGAUAUCGGAGGCUACAUGAUAGCUGGGACAUGUAGCUGUCUGAAUGCAUCACUUGGGAGCUGGAAGACCCGGCCUGGGACCCUUUGCCUAGAUAUUAAUUUGCCAAGGUUGUCACCAUGGAUAUCAAUGGUCAUCACAAACCUAGAAGACGGCAGAGAGCAAUGGUGCAAAACCACUCAAUAAUUUUGGUGUAGUUGAUCCAUGGACGGCGUGGCGUACAAACCACGGACAAUAUCAUUGUUACUGAUGGGAAACCUGCCUUUUAAUGAGAUCCUUCGGUGGAGGUAACAGAGGAGAGUUGCGACACCUCCCAGGAAGCAAAGUGCAUUGCGAAUAGCCAUAUGAUUGUCAUUGGUGUCAACAUUGGCAUCGGUGGGAAGCGCAAACCCGCUGCCUCAUGUGGUCCUACUGCCUUGUGAUGGUGGUGGCCUCAGUGCACGACAACCACGGCACCGUCAGUGUUGUGCUUUUUGUACAACCGUAUGGUACGUGCUCCUAGUCCUAUAAGCUCCUCCUUGUAGUUUUGUGUCAUGGCUUCCAUGCCACGGCCAUGUGUGUGUGUUGUGCGAGUCGACAUGUAUGCUCCUGUGACACAUGUGGUAGUAGAUAGUCAAAAUACAGUCGAGUUUCUAUUUGGAUUGUGAGCCCAAGUUGGAUUUGUGUGUUUGAAUGUCUCUAUGGCUGUGCUGGUAUGUACUUUUACUAUUUUCUAUCUGAAUUGUGGCCUGGAUGUUCA